rnacentral:rRNA from 1 species
UACGAGUGCCUCAAGCGUUAUCCGGAAUCAUUGGGCGUAAAGGUUGUGUAGGUGGUUGUAUUAGUCUCUUGUUAAAUUCUUCGGCUUAACCGGGGGCAUGCAAGGGAAACGGUACAACUAGAGGAUGCGAGGGGUCUGUGGAAUUCAUAGUGUAGCGGUAAAAUGCGUAGAGAUCUGGAGGAACACCGAUGGCGAAGGCAGCCUUCUGGGCCAACACUGACGCUCAUGCACGAAAGCGUGGGGAGCAAACAGG